rnacentral:rRNA from 1 species
UCGAGAAUCUUUCACAAUGGGGGCAACCCUGAUGGAGCGACGCCGCGUGGAGGAUAAGGUCUUCGGAUUGUAAACUCCUGUCAUGCGAGAACAAGGCUUUGCGGCUUGAUAGUAUCGCAAGAGGAAGAGACGGCUAACUCUGUGCCAGCAGCCGCGGUAAUACAGAGGUCUCAAGCGUUGUUCGGAAUCACUGGGCGUAAAGGGUGCGUAGGCGGCGCGGAAAGUCAGAUGUGAAAUCCGGGGGCUCAACCCCCGAAUGGCAUCCGAAACUCCCGUGCUCGAGAUUUGUAGAGGAGUCUGGAACUCUCGGUAUAGCAGUGAAAUGCGUGGAUAUCGAGAAGAACGCUCGUAGCGAAGGCGAGGCUCUGGGCAAAUUCUGACGCUGAGGCACGAAGGCCAGGGGAGCAAACGG